rnacentral:rRNA from 1 species
UACGGGGGGGGCAAGCGUUGUUCGGAAUUACUGGGCGUAAAGGGUUUGUAGGUGGCUUGCUAAGUCAGACGUGAAAUCCCUCAGCUUAACUGGGGAACUGCGUCUGAGACUGGCAGGCUUGAGUGCAGGAGAGGAACGCGGAAUUCCACGUGUAGCGGUGAAAUGCGUAGAGAUGUGGAGGAACACCAGUGGCGAAGGCGACUCUUUGGCCUGUAACUGACACUGAGGCGCGAAAGCGUGGGGAGCAAACAGG